rnacentral:rRNA from 1 species
CGGGACGGGUGGAGUAACGACGUGGAAAACCGUACGCCGUACUACUGGGGAGUAACGACUUAGUAAAUAAGGUAGCUAUACAGCAUAAGCGCACAGCUUCGCAUGAAGCAGUGUGAAAAACUCCGGUGGUAUACGAUGGUUCCGCGUCUGAUUAGCUAGUUGGUGAGGUAAAAGCCCACCAAGGCGACGAUCAGUAGCCGGCCUGAGAGGGUGAACGGCCACAUUGGGACUGAGACACGGCCCAGACUCCUACGGAAGGCAGCAG